UGGGGAAUUUUGGACAAUGGGCGAAAGCCUGAUCCAGCAAUGCCGCGUGUGUGAAGAAGGCCUUCGGGUUGUAAAGCACUUUUGUCCGGAAAGAAAUCCUUGGCUCUAAUACAGUCGGGGGAUGACGGUACCGGAAGAAUAAGCACCGGCUAACUACGUGCCAGCAGCCGCGGUAAUACGUAGGGUGCAAGCGUUAAUCGGAAUUACUGGGCGUAAAGCGUGCGCAGGCGGUUUGCUAAGACCGAUGUGAAAUCCCCGGGCUCAACCUGGGAACUGCAUUGGUGACUGGCAGGCUAGAGUAUGGCAGAGGGGGGUAGAAUUCCACGUGUAGCAGUGAAAUGCGUAGAGAUGUGGAGGAAUACCGAUGGCGAAGGCAGCCCCCUGGGCCAAUACUGACGCUCAUGCACGAAAGCGUGGGGGAGCAAACAGGAUUAGAUACCCUGGUAGUCCACGCCCUAAACGAUGUCAACUAGUUGUUGGGGAUUCAUUUCCUUAGUAACGUAGCUAACGCGUGAAGUUGACCGCCUGGGGAGUACGGUCGCAAGAUUAAACUUAAAGGAAUUGACGGGGUCAUAGCUGUUUCCU
rnacentral:rRNA from 1 species